rnacentral:tRNA from 1 species
GCGGGCAUAGUUCAAUGGCAGAACACGACCUUCCCAAGGUUGUGAUGCGGGUUCGAUUCCCGUUGCCCGCUCCA